CGAAAACCUGCAAGAAAGUAGGUAGUGAAGCUUAGCAGUACUUAUCUUUUCAUCCACCCCAUUAAGUCCAGCUGCAGACAUCAGUCUUAGCUUCCCCCUUUGUGACUUAAGCAAAUGCAGGAUAAUUUCCAAUUGAAGCAAGCUGAUGGUUCUGUAUAAAUUAACACAUACAGGUGAUAGUAGCUUUGGGUACAGAUCUGAUUACAAUCUAAGUCAAGGCUGCCUAAAAGAAGCCAACAGAAGAUCUCUUGCUGGAUGUGGGCCAGGUGCUACUUCAAAUCUCACACAGGAUAGAAGUUGGCCUUAAAAGUGGUUUGCUGAAGAACAGACUGGAUCCUGGACUCAAUAGCUUGCAGAAUAAAGAGGCGGCAGCAAUCCUUGGCUCUCCAUCAGAAAGCUGAGAUCUGUGCCUUUGCUGCGGACAAAUGAGAUAUUAGGGAUGGUACAUCGCACAAAAGAAUUUAAAGCACAAACACAAGGAGCGUUGUCUCCUGCCCUCCUCACACGGGCAUUGCCAGCAGAGCCGAUACAUCCUUGGGCAAAAAGAGCGCCGGCCCGGGCCCGCUCAGGGCUCCAGCUCCGAAUUAUGUAAUACCGACUCCAGGUUUCCACCAAGAAAACAAACUCCGGCCUUCCCUGUUGCAAAACCAGCAGAGCUGGAAACGUAGUAAACCUCUCUCCCUGGAGUGACUGAGUCAGCGCGCACCGCACCUUCACGGAG